UACUCUACCGUUUUUGUCACA
rnacentral:piRNA from 1 species